rnacentral:lncRNA from 1 species
UCAGUGGCAGGGUAGGGGUACCCAGCACAUCUUUCUUCCAAAGCCAAACCUUUGAUCCCCAGAGACAUCAAAAGAGCCAUCUGCAUUUGUGUUUCCUCCAGGUAGAGGAGCAGGGGAGGGGCGAGGAGAGAAAAGGGGAGGGUGGCAGGCAUGGCGGAGGGGGUGCUGAGAGGGGCCGCGCCUGGCCUCUUGAACCUGCAUUUCAGGGAAAAGCCCCUGUCCGGAACCCACUGCUGCGCCUUCUUGGCUGGGGGACUCCUCUGCCGACUAAAUGACUAACUGGGCUAUCUUCAAUAUCAAAUGAGAGGACGUGUUCUAAUGAAAAAGCCCUGUAAAGAGACAGGGGGUUUGGUGUGGGUCAGGAGCAGCUGGUGCCCUCUCUAAGUGACCCCAUGGGGCUUGCUUUAAAAAGCCUUCUGGGCUAGGCGCGGUGGCUCACGCCUGUAAUCCCAACACUGGGAGGCUGAGGCGGGCAGACCACGAGGUCAGGAGUUCGAGACCAGCCUGGCCAACAUAGUGAAACCCUGUCUCUACUAAAAAUACAAAAAAAUUAGCCGGGCGUGGUGGCAGGCGCCUGUAAUUCCAGCUACUCGGGAGGCUGAGGCAGGAGAAUCACUUGAACAUGGGAGGUGGAGGUUGCAGUAAGCCGAGAUCGUGCCAUUGCACUCCAGCCUGGGUGACAAUUGUGAAACUCUUGUCUCAAAAAAAAAAAAAAAAAGAAGAAAAGAAAAAAAGCCUCAUUUCCCUGUGUUGAUUCAUCCCUCCAGGAAGCCUCCUACAGUAGUCAGGUUUCUCUCCCAUUACUGAAUCUUUUCGGCUCCUAUGGGUUCAGCUCUCCCGCCUUGUCGGAAUGGGGUGCUGGUCAUUUCCAUGGCCCCAGCAGACCAGAAGGUGGCUAAGGGAAAGAUCACAUCUUUGUUUUCUCUUUUGGCCCCAGGGCCUGGCCCAGGUGGGGUGAACCAGAUGUCCUUGAUCAUAAUAAUACUCUCCUGUAGUCAUGAGGAGCCGCUGAUUUCAAACCACUUUAGCAGACACCCUAGCAUUUGCUCCUCACCCUGCCCAGUGAGGAAGGCAGGGCAUAGAUUCACAUCCCCAUUUUAUAGUCAAAGAAACUUGAGUUUCAAAGAGGUCAAGUAACUUGUCCAAGAUCAGUUAGCAAGUGAGACUGGUAAGAAGCCCAGGAGUCAGUCUGUCAUUUUCAUUUUACAGAUGGGGAAAUUGAGGCAGAGCGUAACAGAAACACAGGUUAUUAGAGACCAGGUCCAGAUUAAAGCCUAAGAUUCUAGACUUUUUCUUCCAAACCGUAGUGACUGGACUACCCUCCCAGCCUCCACGUGGUAGACGCAUAUCUGGGGGACAGCUGGCUCUCAGAGAACGUUCAGAAGAUCCAGGGCUAUGCUGGGGUGGGCGUGGGGGCUUCCAGUCAAUUUUCUGGGUUAGAACUCAUGCUAUAGGAAUUCCAGAUGUACCCUCAUGGCCCUGACCAGGGGACAGGCGAUUGGUCCUGCUCGCAGGUGACGUGAGGCAGAGAGAGGGGCUGGAUCAGGACACUGCUAUCUAUUUCUCUCCCUGAUUUUCAUACCGGGCUGAGUGCAUGGCUCUGCCUUUGGCUUCCAGGAAUGGAGAGCAGCAAAAGGCAAGGACAGCAGCUGGUUCCAUGGGAGCUCCCCAUAGGCCACCCAGGCCCAGCGUCGCCUUUGUUUUAGACAACAAAGAGUGUCUCAUGUGGUCUCCAGACUGACGGCAAGGUGCGGACCUCUGUUCAGGCACCUCAGCUUCCAAGACUGAGUUCUGAGUCAGAAUCCUCCAGAGUCCUUGGUCUGGGGCUUCCACCCCACUCAGCCCCAGGACUUCCAGGAUUAGUGUCCUUGCCUGAGUUCUGUGUUUUGUCUACCAAAUACCCCACGUUUAUUAAGCACUGAUCUAUUUCCCCAUUUUAUUAAUGAGGGAUGACUGUUCCUGAGAUAAUCAGUGUUUCCAGUGUAUUGCACUGAGAAAAUACCAGCUAAGGCCAGAGGUUUGACAUUUGAGUUAGAGGCUGCAACUAAAUGAGGGAACAGGUAGGUUUUCCGGGUAAAUGUUUGAAAUAUGGGAAAGAGUUCA